CGGGAAUGCGCCCGCAGGGAUGUGACUGCGAAAAAGGCAGUUGAACCAUAAA
rnacentral:ncRNA from 1 species